rnacentral:ncRNA from 1 species
UAAAAUUCGAUGAUAGGAAGUAGUAACAAGGUUUGUUUUUUUUAGAGAGUCAGCGGUUGGUGGAAGCUGAUAAAAGCACUUGUGAAUCCGUCCUUGAGAUGCCUUGCUGAAUUAGUAGUAAGCUUGAGCCGGUUGAAAAGCCGUUAUUAGAUAAGUGGAUUAGACGUAUUCUGUCUAAUCAAUUAGGGUGGCAACGCGGGUAGCUCUCGUCCCUUUU